GCUCUGGCAUGGCCAGUUACUCAUGUGAUGCCGCUUACGGCUUAGAGUCUCAGUUAAAAUAUCACGCUCACCUUUUCAGUUCUACCCAUCCUCCUUGACUUGCAAACCCAUCCCAUUUUCUCUCUUUUCAACCCUCAUUCAAAUUCUAAUUUUUGUUCUUCAACAAUUCGUAUGAACAACAAAUCUAAUUUCGAAAAAACCUUUGUCGGCUUACGACUCAUGUCUAAGCCACCAAUUACAUUAGCGUUGGUCUGAUGUGGAGAUCACCGGAGUUACAAUUUCAUCUCUGUGCGAAUCAUUCGAGUUCGUUGUUUUUCAAAGGAUUCUGAUGUAUUCAUCGACGUUGAUCUGAUAAUUUUGAGAAGAAAGUUCCAAUUUUUUCGCGAAUUAUUAGCGUCAGAAGGAAAAUAAAGGCAACUGAAUAAUUCAAUCAGAAUUGCUUUUUGAAUUGGAUUGAAAUUCAGCAAAAGUAGUUCCAUCGAGGUUCAAUGUGCACUGAGAUAGAUUAUUGAAGAACAUCAGAUUAAAGCAGCUACGUUGCCAGAGUUUCGAGCGCAAGAGCAAGAAAUCGGGGCUUGAAAUUCCUAAAUCGGUGUAUAGUUGAACAAGCAAUUUGCAAGGCUGGAAAAUUUGGUUCACAACUGGUUGAAUUGACACAACUGAAGUCGUGCAAGAGCAGGAGAGUUUCAGUCUUGAAGCAAAAUGUGAAGGGCUCGUUGGAGCGCUAUCUGGUCAUGAAAUACCACCCAUUGAAGAGAAGACCAGAAUUCUAUUGCAAUAUCAAGUGCUCAGUGUGAACUGCUACUAUCCCAUACAGAACUGUCAAAUUUGUGAAGCGGACAUAAUCGUCAAAAUUUGAAGGUGGACCAUUAUAUCAAUUAACUAACUAGCUUUUUUUUAGUUAUAGAAUAUUAUUUAUUGUGAAUUGUGAGAAAUAUUUGUAAUUUACAGGUACAUCAAUUCAAUAUAAUUUACAAGAUAAUAUCACUUAAAGUUGUUAUUAUAUUGGUUAGAUCGAUAAUUUUUGUAUUUUAUAAAAGUUUAUUCACAAUUAAUGGUCUUUACAUUAAAAAAAUAUAAAUGUAGUGUACGGGCAGUGGCGGACUGGGCCUUGUGCCUGGUGACUCACCAGGGCCCAAAAAAAAUUUUAUGUUUUUUUUUUAAAAAAAAAAAAUAAAAAAAAAAUCUAACUUCAGGUCCCGACACUUCCUCAAGCCCUAGCCCACUGCCUCCUCAGCUGCUCUUCCCUCUUCGCCUCUUGACUUCCUCUUCGCUUCAUCUUCACCAGACUGCCUCCACCCAGCCACCCUCCAGUCGCCUGCUCUACCUCUGCUGCUUGCCUGCUCCGUCUUCGUGGUCACUGCUCUUCGCCUCUUCGCAAUCGCUUCGACGCAAUUGCUAAUUCACUAUUGACGCUUCCUCUUCGCUCAUCGGCUCACGCCUCGUUGCCUCCAGUGCUGGCCCUGCUGCUCCGCCUACUCGCCUCAAUGAGCAUAUGCCGUCUGGCAAGGUAAUCAUCAAUUUAUUCUUUUUUUUUUGUGAAUUUCUGAUCAAAUUUGCAUUACUUGUUGCUUAAAAUUAGUAUAUACGAUGAAUGUUCAUUGAAUUUGCAUUAUUUGUGUUUUGACUGUUAAAUUGAACUUAUUAGUUUAUGUGAUGCCGGACAUUGUAUAAGACAACUAUUAGUGUAAGGAGGAUUAUAAAUUUAUAAUUAGAUUACAGUGUGGACUGGUUAGUGGUGCUAGUCGCAUAUUCGGCUGGAAGUUCCGUAUAGACUAGGCGGAUUCAGGAAUUGUAAAACAUUGUGUCUGAAUUGUGGUUACAUAAACCUUAAAUCAUUCUUAAGUUUUUUCUUGUGAUUGUUGCUGUAAAUUGUUUAAACUGUUAUUACACGGAGAACAGUAGUUAGGGUGUUUAUUAGCUUGUUAGUUAUUAGUUUGUUAAUUUUAGUCUUGUAAUUUCAGAAUGAAGAGAAAACGCAUUCCAAAUGAAAUGCAAAACAUUACUAGCUUUUUUGCUAAAAAGAAUCCUACUCCAACUUCUCUUCCACAUCCAACACAAAAUGAACAAACUAUAUCUCAACCUCAAGAAAGUGAACAACAUUCAUCUCCAUCUCAUUAUUCAACUUAAAAUUCCCCUCAAAAUGAACAAGGCCAAUGUUCUCCUAAUGCAACAAUCUUUGGUGAAAGAUUAAGUGAACAUGAAUUUGCUAAUCUUCCACAAGAUCCAGGAAAGAGGAGAAAGAUGAGUGAAUUUCAUAAAGAUGAUAGAGAUUUAGUGAGAAGAAUUUACAUUCAAAGAAAGCCUUGUCAGCCCAAAGACUUUGUAUUUCCUCAAACUUCUAUUUUUGGCAAAAACCGUCGCUUUUGUGCUAAGUGGUUUGGUACUUGGACUUGGCUUGAGUAUAGUGUGGAAAAGGAUGCUGCCUAUUGGUUGUAUUUUGUAUUGUUUGAAUAUUUGGAUGUAUUUUUUAGUACUAUUAUUUGGUUGUUUGGUAAAA